rnacentral:rRNA from 1 species
UGCAGGCUUAACACAUGCAAGUCGAGGGGCAUCAGGAAGAAAGCUUGCUUUCUUUGCUGGCGACCGGCGCACGGGUGAGUAACACGUAUCCAACCUGCCCUUUACUCGGGGAUAGCCUUUCGAAAGAAAGAUUAAUACCCGAUAGCAUAAUGAUUCCGCAUGGUUUCAUUAUUAAAGGAUUCCGGUAAAGGAUGGGGAUGCGUUCCAUUAGGUUGUUGGUGGGGUAACGGCCCACCAAGCCUUCGAUGGAUAGGGGUUCUGAGAGGAAGGUCCCCCACAUUGGAACUGAGACACGGUCCAAACUCCUACGGGAGGCAGCAGUGAGGAAUAUUGGUCAAUGGGCGCUAGCCUGAACCAGCCAAGUAGCGUGAAGGAUGAAGGCUCUAUGGGUCGUAAACUUCUUUUAUAUAAGAAUAAAGUGCAGUAUGUAUACUGUUUUGUAUGUAUUAUAUGAAUAAGGAUCGGCUAACUCCGUGCCAGCAGCCGCGGUAAUACGGAGGAUCCGAGCGUUAUCCGGAUUUAUUGGGUUUAAAGGGAGCGUAGGUGGACUGGUAAGUCAGUUGUGAAAGUUUGCGGCUCAACCGUAAAAUUGCAGUUGAUACUGUCAGUCUUGAGUACAGUAGAGGUGGGCGGAAUUCGUGGUGUAGCGGUGAAAUGCUUAGAUAUCACGAAGAACUCCGAUUGCGAAGGCAGCUCACUGGACUGCAACUGACACUGAUGCUCGAAAGUGUGGGUAUCAAACAGGAUUAGAUACCCUGGUAGUCCACACAGUAAACGAUGAAUACUCGCUGUUUGCGAUAUACAGUAAGCGGCCAAGCGAAAGCAUUAAGUAUUCCACCUGGGGAGUACGCCGGCAACGGUGAAACUCAAAGGAAUUGACGGGGGCCCGCACAAGCGGAGGAACAUGUGGUUUAAUUCGAUGAUACGCGAGGAACCUUACCCGGGCUUAAAUUGCAGUGGAAUGAUGUGGAAACAUGUCAGUGAGCAAUCACCGCUGUGAAGGUGCUGCAUGGUUGUCGUCAGCUCGUGCCGUGAGGUGUCGGCUUAAGUGCCAUAACGAGCGCAACCCUUAUCUUCAGUUACUAACAGGUCAUGCUGAGGACUCUGGAGAGACUGCCGUCGUAAGAUGUGAGGAAGGUGGGGAUGACGUCAAAUCAGCACGGCCCUUACGUCCGGGGCUACACACGUGUUACAAUGGGGGGUACAGAAGGCAGCUAGCGGGUGACCGUAUGCUAAUCCCAAAAUCCUCUCUCAGUUCGGAUCGAAGUCUGCAACCCGACUUCGUGAAGCUGGAUUCGCUAGUAAUCGCGCAUCAGCCACGGCGCGGUGAAUACGUUCCCGGGCCUUGUACACACCGCCCGUCAAGCCAUGGGAGCCGGGGGUACCUGAAGUACGUAACCGCAAGGAUCGUCCUAGGGUAAAACUGGUGACUGGGG